GCGAGAGCUGGGCGGGGCCGGGCUCCAAGGUCCCGGCAGCCCCGAUGUCCCGCCAGUAGCGCGGGCUGGAGGGAGGCAGCGGCUGCAGGAUGGAGCGGGACGCGGGGCAGGGGCCGUCCGCCUUCGAGCUGCCCAAGGUAGAACUUCAUGUUCACCUGGAUGGAGCCAUUAAGCCAGAAACAAUCUUAUACUUUGGCAAGAAAAGAGGAAUUCCGCUCCCUGGUGACACUGUUGAAGACCUCUUGCAGCACAUCAGUUACUCGGAGCCACUCACUCUCACCCAGUUUCUAGAAAAGUUUGCUCUCUACAUGCCUGCCAUUGCGGGGGACCGCGAUGCUGUGAGAAGAAUAGCCUAUGAGUUUGUAGAAAUGAAAGCAAAAGAAGGUGUCAUCUAUGUUGAGGUCAGGUACAGCCCUCAUCUCCUAGCCAACUGCAAAGUUCAUCCUCUUCCAUGGGGCCAAAAAGAGGGCGACCUCACUCCGGAGGAAGUGGUUCACCUCGUUAAUCAGGGAUUACAGGAUGGAGAAAGGGAUUUCAACAUCAAAGCCAGGUCUAUUCUAUGCUGCAUGCGCCAUAUGCCAAGCUGGUCGUUGGAGGUGGUGGAGCUGUGUAAGAAAUACCAGAACAAUACGGUGGUAGCCAUAGACCUGGCUGGGGAUGAGCUGUUGGUGUCUGAGACCUUCCCAGAGCAUAGGAAGGCUUAUGAGGAAGCUGAAAGAUGUGGCAUUCAUCGCACUGUCCAUGCUGGGGAAGUUGGGCCACCCUCUGUCAUCAAGGAGGCAAUCAAUGUCCUGAAGACAGAACGGAUCGGCCACGGCUACCAUGUCCUGGAAGACCCAGUCCUUUAUAGGGAGCUGUUGAGUAGGAAGAUGCAUUUUGAGACCUGUCUUUUGUGCAGUGUCCUCACCGGGGCGUGUGGUCCAGACUUUAGGAAACACCCAGUAAUUCAGUUUAGGAAAGAUAAAGCCAAUUACUCCCUGAACACUGAUGGCCCGCUCAUUUUGAACUCUACAAUUGAGACUGAUUACAAAAUAGCUAAGCAGUUCCUGGACUUCACUGAAGAGGAGUUCAAGAGAGUGAACAUCAAUGCAGCUCAGUCCAGCUUCCUGCCUAAGGAAGAAAAGAAGGAGCUUCUCAGUAAACUGUAUGAAGCCUACGAGAUGGUCCCAGACAACCCAUCCUAAUCCUGCUUCUACCAGCCAGCAAGCUGCCUGAUCUGCGUGGCCCAGGCCAGGUGGGAAGUGACAUGGCCACUUUGGACAAGAGGAAUGUUGGUUUUGCUGUAGCAUGCUGCUGAUGUCUGUUGUUUCCUCUGGAGCCACCAGAGCUGGCCUGCAAGGAAUCGCAAUAUUUGUUUCUUGAGACUCAUGUAUUAUGUGGCAGGGAACAGGCUUCAGAGCCGCCCUGCAAGGAAUUAACGGAACUAUCAGGCUUAGCAGCUGGGACUGUGAUUUUGCAGCCAUGGACUUCACUAGACUCUGGUGCAGCAAAGGAUAACAAAGCAUGUGACAGUGAGGAGCCCCAAGGUGUCCUGGGGCUGAUUGUUGUUCUUUAGCUUGUGAUCAAAGGGAACAGGGGAAAUGGCAUUCUCAGGGGGCUGUGUGAACCAAUCCUCAAGGCUGAUAACAUAGGGACACAAUCACCACAGCAGCUGAGUGCUGCUUAACUGUGCACCCACUAAAUGUUCCAGUGAAAAAAACAAACAGCAGAAAGGACUGUUAGGAACUCCUGCACAGCAAGGAAAUAACCUCUCCUUUCAGAAAGACCUGACCUGCUUCUGACUUAAGUGCAGUCUGAAUUUAGUUCUCCAAAAAAGGAUCUAUCUGUCACUUGUGAAAAAACAGAAAUGAGCAGAGCGAAUCAUCAUCUACUACAGUGAACACAGAGGAAUGUUCCACAUCUUCACUAUUAUCUACGGAGACCCUUGUGAUUAAUAUGGACAGCACUAAUCCACAAUCCUGAUAGCUUCUUGCCAGCAGUGUUGCACAAAGAACUGCACCGAAUUGUCUCCAAGAAGGCUUGGCCAGAUAUGCUACAUUUUGCUUUAGAAACUGCCCAAGCAAGAUUACAUUUCAAGGACUUAAUUCUUGCCCCUUCAUUCAACUAACACAUAGAUACACACGAGAUGCACCAUUGGCUCAGUCUGGCACAACCAAUUCACAUACCAUAGCAGUUUAUUUUUGUAAAUGAUUAGGAUAACCUCAUGGCAUUUUCUGCUUCUUUUCCCACAGUUGAUAUCACUAGGAUGACUUCAUCCUUAUCUCUUGUUAGACAUGUGUGGUUUGAAAUGAUGUUAUGCAGAACCAGAUGCAUGCUAGGAAAUAGAACGAGCAUUUGGAAAUCCCUUGUGAUGAAUAAAGUUGAAGGGAUAAGCUUUCUAUGUUAAAAAUGAUCAUUUGCCUUUCCUAAGCACAUGCCACCUGAGGAGCCUAAAGCACUUUGCAAACAUUAAUUAAGCCUCACAUGGCCUGUAAAGACAUCUUCAUCCCCAUGUUAUAGCUAAAACUUUUUCAUAGCAUCCAUCACUAUGGUAUCUGAAUGCUUAGUGACUUACUCGCUCACAUAGUGAGUGAUACAACUGGGAAGAGAAUGCAGAAUUCCUGACACUGCGCACGCGCACACACAAUGAAGCAGUUGAGAUUCAGCUGUGACCUUUCCUGCCUAAAGAUUUUUCUGGUGCAUGUAAAAAGGAUAAGAAAGUUAGGUUUCUAACAGGGUAAAAGUCUGGGUAUUUCCUGGCACAGCCCAUAUCAGUGACUUACUGGGAGAGUCCUGUCCCAGGGAGCACAUUUAAUUUUCACAGAUGACCUGAUUACAAAGAGAGUGGCCCAUGGGGAUGACCAGUCCCAGCAUGCAAUUGCCCAUAUCCAGCCAGAGGAGGGGCCCAGAGAUGAUGGGUUUCAGGACACAAAGCCUAAUCUAAUGUGUUGAGUGUGCUCUGGUUUCAUGUGUGGCCAAAAUGCUUAGGUUUUCAGCUUGCUUUGUUGAUUCCCCCUGCUUUGUUACACUGUGCCUUUACAUUGUAAAGUGGUUUAG